rnacentral:rRNA from 1 species
UACGAAGGGGGCUAGCGUUGCUCGGAAUCACUGGGCGUAAAGCGCACGUAGGCGGAUUCUUAAGUCAGGGGUGAAAUCCUGGAGCUCAACUCCAGAACUGCCUUUGAUACUGGGAGUCUCGAGUCCGGGAGAGGUGAGUGGAACUGCGAGUGUAGAGGUGAAAUUCGUAGAUAUUCGGAAGAACACCAGUGGCGAAGGCGGCUCACUGGUCCGGUACUGACGCUGAGGUGCGAAAGCGUGGGGAGCAAACAGG